UCAGGAUGAACGCUGGCGGCGUGCCUAAUACAUGCAAGUCGAACGAGCGAGAUCCAGCUUGCUGGAUUAGCGAGUGGCGAACGGGUGAGUAAUACGUAAGCAACCUGCCUACACGGACUGGGAUAACACCUGGAAACGGGCGCUAAUACCGGAUAGGUAACGAGAGGGCAUCCUCUUGUUAUUAAAGGUUUGAAACACAAGUAGAUGGGCUUACGGUGCAUUAGCUAGUUGGUGAGGUAACGGCCCACCAAGGCGAUGAUGCAUAGCCGGCCUGAGAGGGUGAACGGCCACAUUGGGACUGAGACACGGCCCAGACUCCUACGGGAGGCAGCAGUAGGGAAUUUUCGGCAAUGGGCGCAAGCCUGACCGAGCAACGCUGCGUGAGUGAAUGAAGGUUUUCGGAUCGUAAAGCUCUGUUGUAAGGGAAGAAUGGCGCGGAUAGACUCCGCGAUUGACGGUACCUUACCAGAAAGCCACGGCUAACUACGUGCCAGCAGCAGC
rnacentral:rRNA from 1 species